rfam:Myotis davidii contig52383, whole genome shotgun sequence.
CCCUCCUGCAAAGGCCUGUCUGUGGUUCCCGGUCUUCGGACAUAAGAAUUAGAGGCAAAGAAAUGUGGGCUUGGGGGUGUGGAGCCAGUUUGCUCUGCAGGCUCAAGACCAACCAUCCCACACAG